GUGCUCGCUUCGGCAGCACAUAUGCUAAAAUUGGAACAGUACAGAGAAGUUUAGCAUGGCCCCUGUGCAAGGAUGAUAUGCAAAUUCGUGAUGCAUUACAUAUUUUU
ensembl:snRNA U6 U6 spliceosomal RNA